GCCUCCGUAGCUCAGGGGAUAGAGCGUUGGUUUCCGGUACCAAAGGUCGUGGGUUCGAUUCCCGCCGGGGGCA
rnacentral:tRNA from 1 species